rnacentral:rRNA from 1 species
GUCUGAAUAUGGGGGGACCAUCCUCCAAGGCUAAAUACUCCUGACUGACCGAUAGUGAACCAGUACCGUGAGGGAAAGGCGAAAAGAACCCCGGCGAGGGGAGUGAAAAAGAACCUGAAACCGUGUACGUACAAGCAGUGGGAGCACAGGUUUACCUGUGUGACUGCGUACCUUUUGUAUAAUGGGUCAGCGACUUAUAUUCUGUAGCAAGGUUAACCGAAUAGGGGAGCCGGAGGGAAACCGAGUCUUAAUUGGGCGUUAAGUUGCAGGGUAUAGACCCGAAACCCGGUGAUCUAGCCAUGGGCAGGUUGAAGGUUGGGUAACACUAACUGGAGGACCGAACCGACUAAUGUUGAAAAAUUAGCGGAUGACCUGUGGCUGGGGGUGAAAGGCCAAUCAAACCGGGAGAUAGCUGGUUCUCCCCGAAAGCUAUUUAGGUAGCGCCUCGUGAAUUCAUCUCCGGGGGUAGAGCACUGUUUCGGCUAGGGGGCCAUCCCGGCUUACCAACCCGAUGCAAACUGCGAAUACCGGAGAAUGUUAUCACGGGAGACACACGGCGGGUGCUAACGUCCGUCGUGAAGAGGGAAACAACCCAGACCGCCAGCUAAGGUCCCAAAGUCAUGGUUAAGUGGGAAACGAUGUGGGAAGGCCCAGACAGCCAGGAUGUUGGCUUAGAAGCAGCCAUCAUUUAAAGAAAGCGUAAUAGCUCACUGGUCGAGUCGGCCUGCGCGGAAGAUGUAACGGGGCUAAACCAUGCACCGAAGCUGCGGCAGCGACGCUGAUGCGUUGUUGGGUAGGGGAGCGUUCUGUAAGCCUGCGAAGGUGGCCUGUGAGGGUUGCUGGAGGUAUCAGAAGUGCGAAUGCUGACAUAAGUAACGAUAAAGCGGGUGAAAAGCCCGCUCGCCGGAAGACCAAGGGUUCCUGUCCAACGUUAAUCGGGGCAGGGUGAGUCGACCCCUAAGGCGAGGCCGAAAGGCGUAGUCGAUGGGAAACGGGUUAAUAUUCCCGUACUUGGUGUUACUGCGAAGGGGGGACGGAGAAGGCUAUGUUGGCCGGGCGACGGUUGUCCCGGUUUAAGCGUGUAGGUGUGUGUUCCAGGUAAAUCCGGUUCACUUUAACACUGAGGCGUGAUGACGAGGCACUACGGUGCUGAAGCAACAAAUGCCCUGCUUCCAGGAAAAGCCUCUAAGCAUCAGGUAACAUCAAAUCGUACCCCAAACCGACACAGGUGGUCAGGUAGAGAAUACCAAGGCGCUUGAGAGAACUCGGGUGAAGGAACUAGGCAAAAUGGUGCCGUAACUUCGGGAGAAGGCACGCUGACACGUAGGUGAAGUGAUUUACUCAUGGAGCUGAAGUCAGUCGAAGAUACCAGCUGGCUGCAACUGUUUAUUAAAAACACAGCACUGUGCAAACACGAAAGUGGACGUAUACGGUGUGACGCCUGCCCGGUGCCGGAAGGUUAAUUGAUGGGGUCAGCGCAAGCGAAGCUCCUGAUCGAAGCCCCGGUAAACGGCGGCCGUAACUAUAACGGUCCUAAGGUAGCGAAAUUCCUUGUCGGGUAAGUUCCGACCUGCACGAAUGGCGUAAUGAUGGCCAGGCUGUCUCCACCCGAGACUCAGUGAAAUUGAACUCGCUGUGAAGAUGCAGUGUACCCGCGGCAAGACGGAAAGACCCCGUGAACCUUUACUAUAGCUUGACACUGAACAUUGAGCCUUGAUGUGUAGGAUAGGUGGGAGGCUUUGAAGUGUGGACGCCAGUCUGCAUGGAGCCGACCUUGAAAUACCACCCUUUAAUGUUUGAUGUUCUAACGUGGACCCGUAAUCCGGGUUGCGGACAGUGUCUGGUGGGUAGUUUGACUGGGGCGGUCUCCUCCUAAAGAGUAACGGAGGAGCACGAAGGUUGGCUAAUCCUGGUCGGACAUCAGGAGGUUAGUGCAAUGGCAUAAGCCAGCUUGACUGCGAGCGUGACGGCGCGAGCAGGUGCGAAAGCAGGUCAUAGUGAUCCGGUGGUUCUGAAUGGAAGGGCCAUCGCUCAACGGAUAAAAGGUACUCCGGGGAUAACAGGCUGAUACCGCCCAAGAGUUCAUAUCGACGGCGGUGUUUGGCACCUCGAUGUCGGCUCAUCACAUCCUGGGGCUGAAGUAGGUCCCAAGGGUAUGGCUGUUCGCCAUUUAAAGUGGUACGCGAGCUGGGUUUAGAACGUCGUGAGACAGUUCGGUCCCUAUCUGCCGUGGGCGCUGGAGAACUGAGGGGGGCUGCUCCUAGUACGAGAGGACCGGAGUGGACGCAUCACUGGUGUUCGGGUUGUCAUGCCAAUGGCACUGCCCGGUAGCUAAAUGCGGAAGAGAUAAGUGCUGAAAGCAUCUAAGCACGAAACUUGCCCCGA